UACAGAGGUCUCAAGCGUUUGUUCGGAUUCAUUGGGCGUAAAGGGUGCGUAGGCGGCGCGGUAAGUCGGGUGUGAAAUCUCGGAGCUUAACUCCGAAACUGCAUUCGAUACUGCCGUGCUUGAGGACUGGAGAGGAGACUGGAAUUUACGGUGUAGCGGUGAAAUGCGUAGAUAUCGUAAGGAAGACCAGUGGCGAAGGCGGGUCUCUGGACAGUUCCUGACGCUGAGGCACGAAGGCCAGGGGGAGCAAAACAGGG
rnacentral:rRNA from 1 species